AAAGAAUAGAUGUUUCCUAGGCUGACUAAUGGAUUAAAAUUCCCCAAUACUGAGGCAUAUGCUAGUCACAAGUCCGAAGUUGUAGAAGAACCAGUAACUCAUGAAUUGGCCUUAGCUUGCUCUUGCACUUGCUUACUUGCUUGCUUGCUUCUUACAGAGGGCGGAUGGAAUAACUCAACAUUCCUUCCUUCCUCCACUGCAACACAAGUUACAUAGGUGAUGAUGUGGUAGUUGAUUGAUCGGCAUCCCCUCAGCACCCAGCUCACUGCAUUGCACACAGGUGUCUACCAGAAGAUGGACCCAAGAUCCAUGGAGGCUCCUGUGACUCAGAUCAACUGCCCUGCCCGGGAAACCUGGUCUCUCCGGAAACCUUGAUUAAACUGCUUUUUCUGACACCUCUUCCUCUACAACCCUUGAUUCUAUCACCAUUGAAACUUCAGAACCAACUCUAACCAUCCCCACCUCCAGGUGAGGGGACUAAUGAGAAUUACUGACAGCCUGAUGGCUACCCCCAAGUCAGUUUCCCUUCAUACUUUACUACAAAUCUGACCAUGUUCCCAUAUUUACUGAGUAAAUUUGAUGAAAUUUA